rfam:Gossypium hirsutum cultivar TM-1 chromosome 2, whole genome shotgun sequence
AACCCAUGGUCAGGGUACCUUCUCAAAUGAUCAUUGUAUCUCUCCCAUGAAUCAUAGAGUGUUCCUAGAUCCAUAUGUACAAAAGAAGAGAUGUCAUUCCUCAUCUU